GACGAACGCUGGCGGCGUGCUUAACACAUGCAAGUCGAACGAUGAAGCCGGAGCUUGCUCCGGUGGAUUAGUGGCGAACGGGUGAGUAACACGUGAGCAAUCUGCCCUUGACUCUGGGAUAACUGCGGGAAACUGUAGCUAAUACCGGAUACGACACCUUGGGGCAUCCCAGGGUGUGGAAAGAAUUUCGGUCAAGGAUGGGCUCGCGGCCUAUCAGCUGGUUGGUGAGGUAAUGGCCCACCAAGGCGACGACGGGUAGCCGGCCUGAGAGGGUGACCGGCCACACGGGAACUGAGACACGGUCCAGACUCCUACGGGAGGCAGCAGUGGGGAAUAUUGCACAAUGGGCGAAAGCCUGAUGCAGCACCGCCGCGUGAGGGAUGAAGGCCUUCGGGUUGUACACCUCUUUUAGCAGGGAAGAAGCGAAAGUGACGGUACCUGCAGAAAAAGCACCGGCUAACUACGUGCCAGCCGCCGCAGUAA
rnacentral:rRNA from 1 species